UACAGAGGUGGCAAGCGUUGUUCGGAAUUACUGGGCGUAAAGGGCGCGUAGGCGGCCUUCUAAGUCAGACGUGAAAUCCCCCGGCUUAACCUGGGAACUGCGUCUGAUACUGGAAGGCUUGAGUGCGGGAGAGGGAUGUGGAAUUCCAGGUGUAGCGGUGAAAUGCGUAGAUAUCGAGAGGAACACCUGCGGCGAAGGCGGGUUGCUGGGCUGAUACUGACGCUGAGGCGCGAAAGCCAGGGGAGCGAACGGG
rnacentral:rRNA from 1 species